rnacentral:sRNA from 1 species
GUGUUUUGCUGUGUUGUCUAACAAGAGAAAAGAGACAAAGAUUUGCUCUGUGCUUUAAUCCUCUAAGAUAGAUAUUUAGGACUGUGACCAAUUUUUAUUUUGGUUGAAAAAUCUUAUUUGAAGUUGAGCUAAAGAGGAACACUUACAUAGCCUAGUAAACCCUGGAAUAAAAGCAUAAAAUUUCUUUAUUUCACACAUAAAUAUUGAUUAGACAAUAACCCGUCUGGGAAAGGGAUAUUUCUUUCAGUGGAAUUUGGAGCAGUGAAAAUUCGUGCUUGAGAAGAAAGCUAUAAUAGAAAGGACAUUGUAGUGGAUCACUGUCAGAAGCCAUCAAAUUCUUUUCCCUUCAUGACUGGUGUCACCUUCCAUCUAGCAAUUUGACACCCUUGUUGGAGAAGGAGGAGGCCAGAUGAGUGGCGGCCAGAAACAAAGGGUAGCCAUCGCCAGAGCCCUCAUCCGAAAUCCCAAGAUUCUGCUUUUGGACAUGGCCACCUCAGCUCUGGACAAUGAGAGUGAAGCCAUGGUGCAAGAAGCACUGAGUAAGAUUCAGCAUGGGCACACAAUCAUUUCAGU